AUGCCCUUAGAGGCUGAGGUUGUUUGUAUCAGAAGUUUUCAGUUCGUGAUGAUGGAGCAAAAGGAAUUCAAGAUUCCUUCAUUGAGAGAUGAGAAUGAUAACUCUAAGCUCCAAUUUUUCACCAGAAGUGCUACCCAGCAUAUUCUGUUGAGGAGGAAGGCAGGAUGUCUUUUUUUGACGCUGAGACUUUUGAAGCUCCUGGGCCAGUUGUGUGGUACAACAGCCCCUUCCACUUGAAUUUGCCUGAUUGUUUCCUCAUGAUUAGAUUCGGAGUAAAUGUUUCCUGACAAGAAAGCUGCAGAGCUGAUUCUGUGCCAUCAGAGCAUCACAGCAGGAGCCCCAGGAUCAGUCAGUCCCAUCACUGAUGUCAGGAGGCUGCAUGCUUACUGAAAACAACCUAGGGAAGGCAAAAGAAACAAGGAAGAAACUCAUUAUCAGUCACAAAACCAAAUCAGAAAAAUCCUCAAUGGCUCCAAAAAGAAAAUUUGAUGCUGAUGUGUCACGAGCACAGUGAUUAAGAUUUGAAAUCAGACUGAAUUACUUUGGGGAAAAACUAAGAGGGAUGUCCUGAGGAUGUGGCACUGGAUGACAGAACUCUCUUGGAUAAGAUAUCCUGCUCCCACUGUUUAUGGUGAAAGACCCCUGGUUGGGAUGGAACAGUAAUGAAUGGCUUCCUUUCCUUUGCAACACACUGGGCAGUGGACUGGACUUGAGAUGGGAAUUUCAAGACCUGAAUUCAUCCCUCUCCACAUCCCCCUUCUCUGAAAAAAGAAGAACCAAUCAGUCUCAUUAUACUUGUUUAUUUGGCAAAAAUGCUUUAAAUCUUCAAAUACAUGGUCAUCCAGAACCUGGUCUUUUGUUAAGUAUCUGAGUAGUGGUAUCCAGUGGUGAUAUCUUGCAUAUCUCUAUUGUCACAUCACAUCAUAGGCUACAGUGCCCUCUUUACCACUGAAAACAGUGAAGAGUGCUUUUAAGUCUAAUCAGAUUAUGCACCAAUUCCAGGAACACCAUAACCAAUUCAGAAAAUUCAUCCUUACAAUUCUGUUCUUUAGAACCACUCUUAGUACCAAAAUUUGAAUCAGAAGGGUUCUCCAGAGAUAUUGAAGCAACAGGAAAAAAACACAGAUGUUUAUCUACCUAUCUCUAUAGGGCUUCCCAGGUGGCGCUAGUGGUAAAGAACCUGCCUGCCAAUGCAGGAGACAUAGAGAUGUAGGUUCAAUCCCUGGGUUGGGAAGGUCCCCUGAAGGAGGAAAUGGCAACCCAGUCCAGUAUUCUUGCCUGGAGAAUCCCACGGACAGAGAAACCUGGUAGGCUUCAGUCCAUAGGGUCACACAGAGACAUGACUGAAGCGACUUAACAGGCAUGCACCUAUCUCUUGGCUUAUCUCUAUCUAGAUAGAUAUUUCUAUCUAUUGGGUAUCUAUUAUAAGGUUGUUUAAAUAGAUACAUGUUUAUGUUAAGGAACUGGCUCACACAAUUGUGGGGCUACACAUUUGAUGUGUGUCAGGUAGAUUUGCAGGCUGGAAACUCGGACAGGAACUGAUGCCACAGUCUUGAGACAUUUUUUCUUCUUGAGAUGCCUCAGUUUGAAAUUUAGACUGAAUGAGGCCCACCCACAUUAUGGAGGGUAAUCUCCUUUACUUAAAGACAGUUGAUUAGAUAUUAACAGAUUUUCAAAAUACCAUCAAAAUAACACCUAUAUUAGUGUUUGAUUAAAUAACUAUGCUUUUGAACUGUGGUCUUGGAGAAGAUUCUUAGAAUCCCUUGGACUGCAAGGAGAUCCAACCAGUCAAUCCUAAAGGAAAUCAGUCCUGAAUAUUCAUUAGAAGGACUGAUGCUGAAGCUGAAACUCCAGGGAUCAAAGCCACGUCUACCUGCCUUGGCAGGCAGAUUCUUUACUAAUGAACCACCAGGGAAGCCAUCCAUAGCCAGGUCUAGUUGACAAAGCUACUCAUCACACAUACAAGCUUAUAGAUUUCUCAACCAAAUCUUUACUUUCUACUAUAGUAAAAACCUUUUAAACAAUGAUAUCUUAUGUGCUCAAAAAAAGGCAAUGAAAUUUCAGUAGGGACACUUUGGUUGAGUGAACUGGAGGAAUGAACAGUUCUUCCAAAACUGUUUAGAGAAACACACCUUCCACAACCACCUCUUUUUCCUACCCCAAGAAUAGUAUCAUUCCUGGGAAACUGUAACAUUUUAUCUACAUUUUAAAAACAAUUUUUAUGUUUAAAAAAAUGUGCUCUUCAACCCUACAAUAGAAAUGACACCUUAAAAUUACACACCUCUGAGUGCUCUCACUUUAAGGGAUGGUAUCUACGGAAUUUGUUGCUUGCCUUUGACCAGAAAACUUACAAGUUACCACUACAUUUUUCUCUCAUCAGAAAAAGUGAAAGUGAAGCCACUCAGUCGUGUCUGACUCUUUGCGACCCCAUGGACUGUAGCCUACCAAGCUCCUCUGUCCAUGGGAUUUUCCAGGCAAGAGUACUGGAGUGGGCUGCCAUUUCCUUCUCCAGAGGAUCUUCCCGUGGGCAUCCCUUGUGGUUCAGGUGGUAAAGAAUCCCCCUGCAAUGUGGGAGACCUGGGUUCGAUCCCCGGGUUGGGAAGAUCCCCUGGAGAAGGGAAAAGCUACCCACUCCAGUAUUCUGGCCUAGAGAAUUCAGUCCAUGGGUUCACAAAGAGUCAGCGGACAAAAGUCUAAUACAAAACAGGAGAAUUCCAAACCAGUCUGGGUGAAUGGACCAAAUAAUCAAAACAGCACAUAAAGAAAUGUUAUAAAUGGGUUGAAAUAAAUCCUGUAUGUCCUUUCAAAAAAAAAAAAAAAUGAGAUUUUGAAAAAUCUUUCUAGGUGAUUCAUACAUCCAUAGCCAUCCCACUAUGUGCCAGGCACUGUUCAAGGCACCUGGGUUAAAUCACUGAACAAAAUGAUGAUACCUGUCUUGCUAGAGUUCACAUGCUAGCAAGACAACAUCUAUCCAGCUAUUUUCUCUCUCAACAUAAUAACCCAAGCAGUAAGAAGUAUCAAAACAUUUUCUGAAAAUCUACUAUGUGCCAGGUAACUUCCAGUUCUGAGUCUGGCCUUAAAUAGGCACUGUUUCAUUAUUAGCACAGUACAGUCUCUGGGCUUUCCACGUGGCUCAGUGAUAAAAGAAUCUGCCUGCCAAGGCAGGAGUUGCAAGAGACCCUGGUUCCACCCCUGGGUCUGGAAGAUCCCCUGGAAAAGGAAAGGGCAAUCCAAUCCACUCCAGUAUUCUUGCCUGGAGAAUCCCAUGAACAGAGGAGCCUGGUGGGUUUCAGUCCAAGUGUCGCAAAGAGUGGAACAUGACUGAGCAUGCACAGACCAUGGUCUCUGGAGUCAGGCUGCUUGGAUCCAAAACCUAGCCCACUACUACUUCCCAGCUGCAUGACCUUGGGUAAGUUACUUACCACUCAUAUAUAAAACAAAAUAAUCAUAACAACUAUCCCACUGGAUCAUGUACAAGUUAAAAAUGAAUGCAAAUAUAUAAAAGUACUAAAAGGUACUACUAGACUAUCAGCUAUUACUAUUUUAAUUCAAUUUCCAGAAAAGCAGUUAUUACUCAGGCAAUAGUGGGGAAAAAUAACAUCAAUGGUAACUUUUUUUUAAUCUAGCUCAUUUACUCCCUCCCUGCAGUAGGAAAUGGCAGCUCAUUCCAGUAUUCUUGCUUGGGAAAUCCCAUGGAUAGAGAAGCCUGGUGGGCUGCAAUCCAUGGGGUCACAAAAGAGUCAGACAUGACUAAGUGACUAAACAAUAAUUUACUCCCUCCAUCUCUACUAUCCUCAAGAGUUCUUCCUGUUCUUGAAACCAAUGGGUAAUCGUUAAAUUCAUUUCACCUAUAACCUGCCUUACACCACUCUCCAGUCACCUUUCUCUACACUCCCCCUGCCAUCUCAGAGUGCCCUACUUCUUUAUUCUUUAUCCCAUAAAUACCCAGAGCCCUUCACCUCAGGGUGAAAAGUUAAAGUCGCUCAGUUGUGUCCAACUCUGCGACCCCAUUAACUGUAGCCUGCCAGGCUCCUCUGUCCAUGGAGUUCUCCAGGCAGGAAUACUGGAGUGGGUAGCCGUUGCCUUCUCCAGGGGGAUGUUCCCAACCCAGGAAUUGAACCCAGGUCUCCUGCACUGCAGGCAGAUUCUUUAUCGUCUGAGCCACCAGGUAGGCCCCUAUAUAUCUUAUGCACAACAAUUCAUGGUAAAGUCUAGAUAAUAUAGUUAGGAGGCUUUUAAUCUAAUGAGAAAAUUUCUUAAGUCAAAAUUAGACUCAUUUUCUGUAAAAUUACAGUAGCAAUUCUCUUAAGAAACUUUAGCAUCAGAACCCGCAAAUAUGGAUAUGUAAUUACACAGUUCUAAAUGCAUGAAUAUGUAGAUAGCACAAUCUCCAGCACUAUACCUUUGCUUUAAGUGGAGAGCAAACGAACUUUAGGUGGAGAGCAAAAAAUCUACUAUAAAAAUAAGGAUCAAAAAAAUAAGGAUCAAAGUAAGAAUACGCCAUGUGGAAAAACCUAUUUCCCCAAUGUGUUGUGCAAAGUAACAAGUACUUUUUAAAUCACAGUUUAAGUGAAAAAGUGAAAGUGUUAUUUGCUCAGUCAUGUCGGAUUCUUUGUGACUCCUUUGAGUGUAGGCCAGACUCCUCUGUCCACGGAGUUCUCCAGGCAACAAAAGACACAUUUUGUUUGUCAUAGUGAUUUUUUUUACAGAUGUCAGUGGUGGCAGGCCAUUAAUUUAUGUUUAGAAAAAUAAGCAAGAUGUUUAGUUGAAUUUUUAGGUUUGAUGCUUAAACUCUUGGAAGGAUCACUGUAUUUUUUAUGCAUGGAGUAUUUACAAACAUACUCAAAGUAACCUUGUGAUAUAAGGACAGUAAUGAUCUAAAAGGUGCACCACUACAGUAAUAAAAACUUCGAAAAAAAAAUGAACUGAAGUUAAUUUUCAACUUCGCUCACUGCAUAUAAUAAUAAAAAAAAUACAAGUACAGUCAUCGGAAAUUGAUGGCUCAUCCUCAUUUGUUA